AUUCACACCCAUGCUGCUCCUACCUGUGCCUGCUGGCUGCUCUCUGUCCCGCCUGGAUACUGGACUCCGAAUACCCCAGACCCCAGCAAACCCGGGCCAACAUGAAGGCUAACAGGGGGGACAUAGCAGCUAUCGAGCUGAGCAUGCCCAGCUACCGAGGAAUAACGCGAAACAUGGCGACUACAGACAUUGUAUGCUUCUCCAUCUGUCAAAGCACUUUGUAAACCAUCCAUCUGCAUCCAUCCAUCUGCAUCCAUCCGUCCAUUCAUCCAUCUUCCUCUAGUUUGCUGUAGCAACAUGCCUUCAAGUCAGCCCAAACAUUCUUCUCCCCAGAAACAUUUCCAGUUCCUCUUUGAGGGUUCCAAGGUUUCCCCAGGCCAGUGGAGAUAUAUAUAGUCGUUUCAGAAGGUUUUGGGUCUUCCUAAGAGUCCUCCCAGUUAAGCAUGCCAAAGGUACACAGAGGGCACCCUGAUCAGAAGUCCAAACCACCUCAACUAACUCCUUUUGACGCUAGGGGGCAGAGGCUCUCCUUCAAGCUCAUCAGAUCUCUAAGGCUAAAGAUGCCUGGCUGUUAAUAACUACUGUCAUGAUGGAUAUACAUGCA